UACAGAGGAGCCAAGCGUUGUCCGGAUUGACUGGGCGUAAAGCGCACGCAGGCGGUCGCGCGCGUGGGGUGUGAAAUCUGGCCGCUUAACGGCCAGGCGCCAUCCCAUACGGCGCGACUGGAGGGAUGCAGAGGUCGAUGGAAUUGCCGGUGUAGUGGUGAAAUGCGUAGAGAUCAGGCAGAACACCUGGGGCGAAGGCGGCCAGCUGGGCCGUCCCUGACGCUGAGGCGCGAAGGCGUGGGGAGCGAACGGG
rnacentral:rRNA from 1 species